rnacentral:rRNA from 1 species
AUUGAACGCUGGCGGCAGGCCUAACACAUGCAAGUCGAACGGAAGAACGGUGCUUGCUUGUGGUUUCAGCGGCGGACGGGUGUGUGUUUCCUGUGAAUCUCCUUGUUUUUACUUUCUUACGUCCUCACGCAGGUGCUACUACCACAUACUUCCUGCUGGUGCACGUUGGUGAGCUUCGGACCUUACCCUCUCAUAUGAUUCUACGUCGGAUUGGGUAGUUGGUGGGGUGAAGGCCUACCUAGGCACCGAUCCGUAAGUGGUCUGAGAGGAUGAUCAGUCACACUGGAAGUGAGACACGGUCAAGAGUCCUAAGGGAGGCAGCAGUGGGGAAUAUGGGACAAUGGGCGAAAGCCUGAUCCAGCCAUGCCGCGUGUGUGAAGAAGGUCUUCGGAUUGUAAAGAACUUUUAGUGGGGAGGAAGGGCAGUAAGUUAAUACCAUGCUGGUGUGACGGUACCAACAGAAGAAGCACCGGCUAACUUCGUG